CGGAGCAGGAGAGCAACUGACCGCUCUCAGACCGAUGGCGACGACAUAAACGCGCCUCUCGGGCUUCUGCUCUGUAAACUUUGCGCAAUGCGAUACGGGAACAGUUUUUGCGCUUGUUCAGUAGGUUUGCCGAAUGGCUGUGGGUAUGACACUUCCUCAGUUAAGGGAAGGAGCGAGUGUGUGUAAUACGUGUGUUGCUCUGACAAAACGAAAGGGCACAUCGGCACGCUGCUCGUAAAGGUUUUUAAUUACCUUCACAGCUCGUAGGCGCAUCAGUUGCUUCACACGCGAGUGUAAAGUAUGUGUGGCUGUGUGCUUAUAAAACAACAUGUGCGGGAUCGCGUGUGGUCAUAUAUGGGCUGGCAUUGUAUUUGCCAUGUUGCCGUUUUUGCUCCUCGCGUCUUCGGACUGUUCGCUUUCCAUGCGUGCGCUUCUUUUUGCAAGUGUAUUUCCCUGUGUGCAGGAUACAUGUUUCUUUGUCCUGUUGCAUAUAUAAAAGGGAGUUAUAGCGUUGCGUUGUGUGCGUCCGCUGUUGGCUUGCAUGAUGUGUAGUGAAUAUAUUUCGCUGCCUCAUCUGCCUUCUUAACGGAUUGUGUUGUACGUGUGUGGGGUUUUUGUGCACUCUUUCGUGCCGCAAUGCGCCCACUCCGUCGUCACUCUAUUGCACCACGCCGCCUGAUAUUAUAUGCGUGUGAAAGUUGCAUUGCCGCUGCUUUUUACACAUUCAACGUGUGUGUGUUUGUGCUUGCGUGAAAGUCGCUUGCCACAUGUUAUCCAUGCUCUCUCGUGUGUGUACGCCGCGUACGGGGAGGUGUGUGUGUGAAAAUGUGUGCAUUCGUCUGUAUAUUCACGUGGGUUUGUGUUGGUUGUGUAGGGCUUGGCACCUGAUAGAGUGACGCCUUGAGGAAUCUCAGCCUGAAAAGGGUGUAUAAUAAAUUUAUACUGAAAAAUAUGGGGUCAUCAGGAAAUACACUAUAAACGAAGUAGUGUGUUUUGUGUUAUGAAUAUUAUGCGAGAUCGUGUGUACAUAUAUGCGCGUCCCCUGGAGAGGGAAACACCACCCACUCGCAGCCACACAUGUGGUGUGCUGUUUGUGUGUUCCCCACAGCGGAUCACGCGCUUACACUUGA
rnacentral:misc_RNA from 1 species